AUUACCACAAAACUCUUCUGAUAAUUGGAGCACAGGUACUGCAGCAAUCGAAUUAUCUGAAUUCAUGGUAAGUUUGCUCAGUAUACCAAUAUCUUACUGUUUAAAAUGAAAACUUGGAGAUUCAUUAUCUUACUUAUUUUUUCCUACUCUGAAUCUAUAGUUUAACCAACGGUGGUUGACAAAUGGAUGGCUGAGAUGGAGUUGAUCGGAGCAUGUGGACUUGAUUAGUCUUUCUUUAAAAUUCAUUUACAAAAACAGUUUUAUAAUUGUUGUUAUUAAAAACUUUAAUAAGUUUGCAUCAAAAAUUUAGGCGUUGUGUAAUUUGCAACAUUUUUUUUUUUAAAAUGCACCCUUUUCAUCUUCAAC
rnacentral:lncRNA from 1 species